GACGAACGCUGGCGGCGUGCUUAACACAUGCAAGUCGAACGGAAAGGCCCUUCGGGGUACUCGAGUGGCGAACGGGUGAGUAACACGUGGGUGAUCUGCCCUGCACUUUGGGAUAAGCCUGGGAAACUGGGUCUAAUACCGAAUAGGACCGCGCGCUUCAUGGUGUGUGGUGGAAAGCUUUUGCGGUGUGGGAUGGGCCCGCGGCCUAUCAGUUUGUUGGUGGGGUAAUGGCCUACCAAGGCGACGACGGGUAGCCGGCCUGAGAGGGUGACCGGCCACACUGGGACUGAGGUACGGCCCAGACUCCUACGGGAGGCAGCAGUGGGGAAUAUUGCACAAUGGGCGCAAGCCUGAUGCAGCGACGCCGCGUGAGGGAUGACGGCCUUCGGGUUGUAAACCUCUUUCACCAGGGACGAAGCGCAAGUGACGGUACCUGGAGAAGAAGCACCGGCCAACUACGUG
rnacentral:rRNA from 1 species